GGCAAAGUAGUAGCUUCUUGGAUAUUACUUCCACAUAACAUUACAGUACAGCUAUUAGAGCUACAGCAGUUUUCUAUAUUCAGACUAGAACUUUUACUUUUGACUUCAAGUACAAAAUGAUCCUUAAAAGUAAAACCUGAGCCUGGCAUUGGUGGCACACACCUUUAAUCCCAGCACUCCGGAGGCGGAGGCAGGUGGAUCUCUGAGUGUUUAAGGCCAGCCUGGUCUACAGAGAGAGUUCCAGGAUAGGCUCCAAAGCUAUACAGAGAAACCCUAUCUCGAAAAACAACAACAACAAAACCAACAACAACAAAAAAGAAGAAAGCCUGGCCUGUGUACACCUUUAAUGCCAGUCAAUGCUUUGGAGGAAGAGGCAAGUGAAUCUCUUGAGUUGGAGGCCAGCCUGAUCUACAGAGUGAAUUAUAGGACAGCCAGGGCUACUAAGGGGGGGGGCAGAUUAAAUGUAUUCCACUAUUCUAUCAUACAUAUAGUAACAUUUCAUUGGAUUCUGAACAUAGUUUCAGUAAAAACCAACACUUUCUUCUUCACAUAUGCAUUUCUUAUUUAAAAAAUUGUGUUAUGUAGUUUUUUCUACUAGUAAAAUAAUGAAAAUUUGACAUUUUAAUUAAUUCUUAGACUAUUUUAGGAAUUUUAAUCUUUUAAGAUCUGGCUGUAGCUAGCCGGGCAUUGGUGGUGCAUGCCUUUAAUCCCAGCACUUGGGAGGCAGAGGCAGGUGGUGGAACUCUGUGAGUUCGAGGCCAGCCUGGUCUACAAGAGCUAGUUCCAGGACAACCUCCAAAGCCACAGAGAAACCCUGUCUCGAAAAAGCCAAAAAAAAAAAAAAAAAGAAGAACUGGCUGUAGAGCUGGGCGUGGUGGCACACACCUUUAAUCCCAGCACUGGGAGGCAGAGUUCAAUGCCAACUUGGUCUACCAGUCAAGUUCCAGGGCAUUCAGGGUUACACAGAGAAACCUUAUCUGAAAAGAAAAAAGAAAAAAAAAAAGAAAAGAAAAAGAAUUGGUUGUCACUGGCAGUACAUGCCUGUGAUUCCAGCACUUGGGAGGCAAAGGCAGAUCAGUCACAAGUUCCAGGACAGUGUGGUCUGCAUAGUAUGUUUCAGGUCACCCAGGGCUACCUGCUUUAAAUAAUAAAUUCAUUUUCAUCCUUCAGUCACAAAAAUGCCUAAACUGAUUGAUUCAGACAGAAAAAUGCCUUUUUUUGCAUUUCUUUAAACCCACUCUGCAAAAUAGUAGCUUAGGUACAAACACACACACAUUAUUUAUAUUCUUUGAGAAAUUAAUAUAUUUUCAAAGAAGUCUGCCUGUCAAUUUCCUGCCGCUUUGUGGAUUAGCUCUCUAAAAUACUACAGAUUCGUUCAGACCAGAGUUGCAGGGAACUAGUAUUCACAGGCCAGUUUGGCCCAGUUUUAUUUGGUGUACAUAGUAGGUGUACAUUUCCAGUUCUGCCAGUGGACUUAUCUGUAACUACUACUCUAUUUCUACACUCUCUACUCAGCUCUAAAGACCCUUGAUGUAGGUCUAUAGUUAGACUUCAUGAUCUGCCAGUGUUGUAAUUAGAUCAUUUUAUCAAUGUAUUUUAAUGUGGUGCUUUUGUUUAUAAAUAUUAACAUUAUAACCG
ensembl:lncRNA